GGGGUUGUGGCUCAGUGGUGGAGCAUUUGCCUCACAUGUAUGAGGCACUGGGUUCAAUCCUCAACACCA
rnacentral:tRNA from 1 species